AACGAACGCUGGCGGCAGGCUUAACACAUGCAAGUCGAACGCUCGUAGCAAUACGGGAGCGGCAGACGGGUGAGUAACGCGUGGGAACGUGCCCAAAGGUACGGAACAACUCCGGGAAACUGGAGCUAAUACCGUAUGUGCCCGAAAGGGGAAAGAUUUAUCGCCUUUGGAUCGGCCCGCGUCGGAUUAGCUAGUUGGUGGGGUAAUGGCCUACCAAGGCGACGAUCCGUAGCUGGUCUGAGAGGAUGAUCAGCCACACUGGGACUGAGACACGGCCCAGACUCCUCCGGGAGGCAGCAGUGGGGAAUAUUGGACAAUGGGCGCAAGCCUGAUCCAGCCAUGCCGCGUGAGUGAUGAAGGCCUUAGGGUUGUAAAGCUCUUUCGCCAGGGACGGUAAUGACGGUACCUGGAUAAGAAGCCCCGGCUAACUUCGUGCCAGCCGCCGCAGUAA
rnacentral:rRNA from 1 species